rnacentral:lncRNA from 1 species
AGCGGCGCGCGGCCAGGAGCCCCCGCUCCGCCACUGCCGUGCCUGCCUCCCGCAGCUGUCUGCCAUGCGCUCGCCGGGGCAGGGGCGCCCGGAGGGCGGCUAGAGCUGGGCCUGAGCCCGGGAACGCGCCUGAUCAGGGGUGGCGGAGCCGCGGUCCCCACAGCCGCCCCACCCGCGCCGCUGCCUCGCUGGGGCCCGGGCCCCCUUCCCGUUACUCCCCUGCUGGUGCCUCCCUCCUUGGCGCGCUUCCCACCUGCGAUCGGCGCCCUCUUCGCAGUCACGAACUCGCCAGCAGCUAGCAGCACUGACUAGUAGGAGGGCCCGCCGGAGGAGAGGACAUGCUCUGGAGUCAGAAGACAGCGAAAAGAGAAGCAGAAGCCCCGGUGGCAAGAGUCUGAAGCAGGAAGGAUGACUGUAGCCUGUGGAUUGUACUGCAGUAGGAAACUGUCCUAGCAAGGCUCCACUUUGCCCCAGCUUCAAGCUGGAAAGGAGGAGAACAUGAAACAUUGCUUGAAGACAAUGGCCGAGACAGCAGGUCCCACCCUGCACAGCCACCAGCAUCUCUCCCCUCAGCCCUGUCUCCUCUUCUGCAGUUGGGAUCUGCACAUUUAAGCCUGAAAUUGUCCUGUGAAGUGAAGUAUGAUCGGACAGCCUCUUUUCAGCUUUUAUGACAAUGGAGACAGAGGAAUUGUGGCUCUUGCCAAGGUCACAGGAUUGGAAUACAGAGCCAAGCCACCCCAGGACAUGCAAGAGCCUCAGAAGGGAAAAAAGCCCAGCAGGAAGGGAGAACAAGUAGCCUCUGUCCUGAAGUUGUAACAGCCAGGGGCCAGGAUGGAGGAGGAGGACCCCAUAAUCUGCCCAUCUGGGACUUGGCAGGGGACCUGGGAAAAUGUACCCCAACCCAUCCCUUAAGGGCCUUUGUCUUUGGCCCAUUGGCCUAGCAUCUACUUCUUCACCGUGUCUGUUCUUGUCACACCUAGUCAGGUCUGUUUGGGUCUGAGGUGCAUGGAACAUUCUGGGUAGGCCUCCAGCAAACGGAAGCUCUUCACCGUGUUUCCAGCCUGGGACCAAGGGCAGCAUACUGGCAAAGUUGCCAAAGCAAGGGACUCCAGCCUCUUAGGAGUUAAUGACUCCCUCUCCCCAGCUGUCCUCCCCUUGGUGCUCCUCUUCCUCCCUCCUCCUGCUCACAGCAGGCAGGGCCUAGACCCGGGAGCCAUGCUGCUGUGCUGUUGCCAGGGGAGCACGGAGGCAGAUCUGAGCUAUGCAGGGAAAAGGCCCAGCCUGUCAAAGUGUCUGAGAUGAACCGCCGCCGUCCCUGUGCAGCUGGGCUCAGACGUGUCUCAGCUCUUGUUCUGUGCCUGAGAAUGGCGAAACCCAGUGAGGUUCAAGGGCAAACUCGCUAUUCAUUAGUCAGGGGUUCUUGACGUCCCGUCUCUCCCAGGGAUGAGUUCCCCCCUCCUCUUUCUCCCCCUCCUAUGACACAUUCCUGGGUGCCUUUGGUGAGGACUGCACACCCUCCUCCUGCCUAGCCCCCUCUCCAAAGGCCCCUGAAUAAACUCCCCCCAAGGAGACCAGGCAGGGCAGAGACAAUGGCUGCAGGAAAUCAUUCAGGCGGGACAUGCUGGCCUGCCCUCCACCCAGUCCCCCUGUGGGCCCCACUCCCUUCUGAUUCAGGGCACCCUUGGGCCCCCAGCCUAUACAGGCCUGGACAGGAAGAAACCACUGGGAACCACCCUAAGGACAACAUGCUAGUCCAGUGCCAUUCUUCGCUGGCUCUGUGGGUGCCUUUGUGGCCUGUACCGACUGGCUGGCUAAUUUUGUGGUUUCUGUACCAUCACAUGCCUAUUUUAAGACACUCUCCAGCACUGUCGGUUAGGGAGUGUAAAUUUUGCAAUAUUUUCUGAAAUGUGGCAAUAUCAAAAUGUAAAAGGCACACAUACUUGGUCACAAACAAAUGGCACUAUUUACUCUGUGGGCAUAUUUGUAAAAGUUGCCAAAGAAUUAUAUACAAGGAUGUUCAUCAGAGCAUUUCUUUUGAAGAGUAAAGAAAUGGACAUGAACCUGUGGUCCGUUCAUACGGUGGAAUACCUAUGCAGCUGUAAAAAUCAGUGUGGUAGAUCUCCGUAUAUGAGUUGAUGUGGAAGGUUGGCCAGUUCACAUGAUAAGGUGAAUAGAAUAAGUUACAGAACAGGCUGUAGAGUAUGAUCUUAUUUGUAGAUGUUUAAAACUGAGUCAUAAGUAUGCUUAUAUACAGAUCGUUUCUGGAAGUAUGUACUGGAAGUCUACCUCUGGGGAGUGGGGAUGGGGGAGUGCACUCUUCUAUACUGUUAUAUUUUCUUUUCAUGCUCCUAAGGUACUUUUAUUGGAAGAUGUAAAGCGGUUCAAUGUAAUAGGCUUAACUUCUGUCAACUAAGUUGGCGUGGGUGCUUUAAGAGGGUGGUAGUGAUGUUGCUGGAGAAAGUAUCCCACAGUCACUGGUGGCUUCAGCCACGGGCCAUUUUGGGGCCUAAUAAUCACAUAUCAUCAUGGUUGCUAGUGUUAAUCGAAAACCUACUAAGUGCCAGGCUUACUGUCUCUGGGUCUUGCUUACGUGGAUGUCAUUUUUCCAGUUGCACCAAAUCGAAAGAGGUUAAUUGGUUUGUUGGAGUUCCUUUGUAGGUGAAGGGCAGAGCCAGGAGCUUGGCUAGGGACAGGGGAGGUGAGUGGGGGAUGGUGGAUAGGUCUUGGCUCCCAGUUUCCUUCUGGGCAGACAUUGCCCCUCUGCCCUGAGGACCUGCUUGUUUGGGGGAAGAGGCCUUUAGAGGCACCAGGGUCAUGCCAGGUGUUGGACAUGGUGAACUGGGAAGUGCUCCCAUCUGGCCACAGCGCAGAAGUAUCACCGUGCUGGGGGAUGGGGAACAGGGCUGUGAAUGGGCCUAUUUGCAUAAGCAGCAUGUGUCUGGAGAGAAAGACAUCACAGAGCAGAAGAGUGCGGGUGCCCAGGAGUGCACUUGCCACCCCUACUUCAUCCCUGAAAGAGUAAAUGGCCUGGAAGGUGUCUCUGAGAGGUAAUGCCGCACACCACCCUCCCUGGGGGCAGGGUCAGGCUACACCUGCCUUAGGUCGGGGGCUGCAGCAGCCUGAGAGCUCUCAGUAGGGCCUCAGUAGCCUGGGAGGGAGCAGGGGCAGGGGGCAGGGAAAGAGGCGUAAUGGGGCUGUCCAGAGGGGCCUGGGAAACCUGGUCCCUGAGGCCUGGGCACAGCUACAAUCACUUCAAAUUGGCUGUGGGGCCAGUGGACUGGGAAGGAAAAAAGCAAUAAGAGUGACCAAGUGCAGAAGGCUGUCAGGUCCCAGGUCACAUGCCUUAGUGCAGUGACUCCUCAUCAUUUUAUGGGGUGUGGGUGUCGUUGGUACACCCAUUUUACAGAUGAGGACACCGAGGCCCAGAAAAGUUAAGUUACAUGUCCUAAGUCACACAGCUUGUAAGUGCCAGAACUGAGAUCAAAACCAAGUCUCUUUGACUUUAAAGUCUGUACUCUGACCCCAAAGAGAUCCUGUUUGGCCACUUAUAGGAGGUCCCUAAAGCUGCAGACUCCCCUUGCCGGCACCCACAUAUAGAGACAUUAACCCUUCCCCUGCAGGGUCACCUCAAAUAGUCUUUUAGCUGGGCUUCUCCUGCAAUUCCACCUAAUGCCAUCCCCUGGGUUUUGCCCAAACCUGAACUGGGCAGUGGGGUGAGAGGAGGGGUUUACAGGGUUACAGAGCCUCAUACAGAUAGGAGCCCAUGGCUGCUGGUCAUCUGCAUUCCUGCAGGAUUGGCUGUUCCUUGGGGUCCUUGGCAGGAAAAUGAGGAUUGCUCCGAGGCCUGCUCCAGUACUUCCCAGAGGCUGGCCUGGUGUGGGGCUCUGGGAAGGCUGAGGCUGGAGAAGCGUAAGUAGGAGGGCAGAGAUGGCACUCAGGUAGCUUGAAUCACCAGGACCCUUCCAAGCCCCACAGGUUCUGAGGGAGUACUAGGGCCAGCUCUGGGAGAGGUCUCUUCCUAUGCUGUGAACCCCCUGCCUUUCUUGCAGCCUACAACGAAUAAAUUUUCUUUGCAAAGG